CUACGGGGGGCUGCAGUGGGGAAUAUUGGACAAUGGGGGAAACCCUGAUCCAGCAAUGCCGCGUGUGUGAAGAAGGCCUGCGGGUUGUAAAGCACUUUCGGUUGGGAGGACUGCUUCUAGCACUAAUAUUGCUGGAAGUUGACGUUACCUCAGAAGAAGCACCGGCUAACUCCGUGCCAGCAGCCGCGGUAAUACGGAGGGUGCAAGCGGUAAUCGGAAUUACUGGGCGUAAAGCGCGCGUAGGCGGCUAGAUCAGUCGGGUGUGAAAGCCCCGGGCUUAACCUGGGAACUGCAUCCGAUACUGUCUAGCUUGAGUACAGGAGAGGAGAGUGGAAUUCCACAUGUAGCGGUGAGAUGCGUAGAUAUGUGGAGGAACACCAAUGGCGAAGGCAGCUCUCUGGCCUGAUACUGACGCUGAGGUGCGAAAGCGUGGGGAGCAAACAGGAUUAGAUACCCUCGUAGUC
rnacentral:rRNA from 1 species